UACGUAGGGUCCGAGCGUUAAUCGGAAUUACUGGGCGUAAAGCGUGCGCAGGCGGUUUUGUAAGCCAGAUGUGAAAGCCCCGGGCUUAACCUGGGAACUGCAUUUGUGACUGCACGGCUAGAGUGUGUCAGAGGGGGGUAGAAUUCCACGUGUAGCAGUGAAAUGCGUAGAUAUGUGGAGGAAUACCGAUGGCGAAGGCAGCCCCCUGGGAUAACACUGACGCUCAUGCACGAAAGCGUGGGGAGCAAACAGG
rnacentral:rRNA from 1 species